UGUGGCAAUUUUUAUAUAAAGAAAAGUAUUUGAAAUACAAAUGUCUGAGUGUUUAAGCUAGUUGUACUUGCAACUGAAUAAAUGGAAUUUUGUUUCUUUGAUUAAACUUUGCUGGUUGGAGACACCAAGACCUAUUGGUCUGUACUGUAGUCAACCUUAAGAUACCGGCGAACUAUUUACCGACUUUAUCGUGCAUGAAACAGCAUUUAUUGUAAUUGUUCAAUCACCAAGUGUAUUCCAG
rnacentral:lncRNA from 1 species